UGGGGAAUAUUGGACAAUGGGCGCAAGCCUGAUCCAGCCAUGCCGCGUGAGUGAUGAAGGCCUUAGGGUUGUAAAGCUCUUUCGGCGGGGAAGAUAAUGACGGUACCGCAAGAAUAAGCCCCGGCUAACUUCGUGCCAGCAGCCGCGGUAAUACGAAGGGGGCUAGCGUUGCUCGGAAUCACUGGGCGUAAAGGGUGCGUAGGCGGGUUUCUAAGUCAGAGGUGAAAGCCUGGAGCUCAACUCCAGAACUGCCUUUGAUACUGGAAGUCUUGAGUUCGGGAGAGGUGAGUGGAACUGCGAGUGUAGAGGUGAAAUUCGUAGAUAUUCGCAAGAACACCAGUGGCGAAGGCGGCUCACUGGCCCGAUACUGACGCUGAGGCACGAAAGCGUGGGGAGCAAACA
rnacentral:rRNA from 1 species